CGCCACGGCCAUACCAGCCUGGGUACGCCCGAUCUCGUCUGAUCUCGGAAGCGAAGCAGGGUCGGGCCUGGUUAGUACUUGGAUGGGAGACCGCCUGGGAAUACCAGGUGCUGUAAGGA
rnacentral:rRNA from 1 species